ensembl:lncRNA
CUCCAGACAAAAGCUAACAGCCCCGGAUCAGAGAGGAAGACUGUGGUUUUUUUUUACAGACGAGGAGAACUGAAGCCCAAGCAGCAGAACGUGUCGAGAUCAUGCAGAUAGACACCGAGGUUGAAACCCAAGGGAAGGACCACACCCUGGGGCACCGAGAACAAAGAUUGGGAGGGAAGUGCCCAGGACCCAAGCGCUCCCAGAACAGUCACCAGCUAGCAGGCACCCUCAGGAUUUAGUUGACACUCUGCUGCCACCAAGUGGCAAUUCUAUGGCAUAUCAGCCAAACAGGCUUUUGAGAAAUAAUGUUUCCGGUCCUCAAAGCGACCGGCAAGACUGAAAACUAACUUCCAAUGACUCUAAGAUACCACCUUCCUCUCCACUCUCGUUUUCUCAAGAGCACACGGGUUUUCCUAAGGACUGUACAGCACGUGAUGUCACAGACAAGCAGAAGGGCUUCCAACUGCCCCCUAGUCAUUCACUAUAGAGGAGUGAACUCUCUGCCUAGCCAGGAGUACACAAUGGGAGAUCCUGAUUGGCCUCUGAAAAUACCACUCCUUCAACCCAACUGUGCAGCCUAGGCAGGCACUAGUGCAUGCCUGCUUGACACAUCCUGGGAUGGGAUAGAGGAGGCACUCUGGGUCCAUCCUGUAACAUACCAGGAGCACAGCACCUCACCAAGACCCUCAGUACCUGCCCGUGAUGCUGAAGUGGGGGUUGGGCCAGCCUCUUCCUGUUAAGGAGUCUAGUAAACUAGCACGAAAGCUUUGCCGGAGCUCCUCCACUCUUCCCUUGAGUCGGUGCCUGCACACAGCAGGGGCUCAACACAGGUGAUCACUAAGUGACCACAAGCCCAUCGGCUCAGAUCUACCCAAGGGACUUUGAGCUUCAAGAGCUGUGAAGGGUGGGCUUGGAGAGCAUUCUGAGGAAGCACCUGUGAUCUACACUGAAAAUGGUCAUGUCGGCCUCUAGGGGGCAGUUGUGAUUUGGUGCUUGGUUUGGGGCAAACCAAGGAAGAUCUUAAAACGUUUGUUUACAUGGCUGUGAAGACAGUUCCCUCACUGGGGUUUAAGACCACCCUGGACCACAUUUCUGCUUGGCUGGUGGCGACUGCGCAGGUGACAAUGUGAGGCAGGACUCUGAAGCCACAUUCAGCAGUGUGCUGAGAAGGGCUCUGGGGUGCAGUAGGCGUGGCUGCUGCAGGCGCAGAGCCGGAAGUGACAUCAUGGACGCGCGCCACGGAAGAGCAAGGUUAUCUCCUAUGUGGCUCCCAUAGGUGGUAAGCAUCUCCAAAGACCUAAACUGAAGAGAGAGGAGGGUGACCAAGGUCUCUCAGAAGUCAGGUUCUAACCCAGAGCUGAAAGAGAUGAUGGCUGCCUGACCCAUGUAUGGUCUGCUGUUUCCCACCAGCACUUGGACUCUGGAGAGAAAGUCUGCAGUCAUGAAGGAAGGGACUCGAAGCUCGGGAUGAUGGCUGUGUCCCACCUGGCACCGGACGGAGACGGCUGGGUCUUCCUACUCUCCAGUAAUGCACCCUUGCUGGCUCUACGGGCGCUGCAAUCGCAGCCUGCAGCGGGGUGAGGCCUGCUCAGAUUACGGUGGCGCAGAGAGGAGAGAGGGUGCAUAAAGAAUGCUCUUUUUGAGUUGUGGCCAGCAGGAUCUAGGCUUGGACACACCCACAUGGAGAUGGGUCUUGUGCCACAGUUGGUCAGGAAGGCUGUCUGGGAUUGUUUGUAAAUGCUCAAACGAGGUGUCACGGGAAGAACGCAUCUCCUUUCUUUGGUUAUGAAGCGCCUUGUAAACAGAAAGUAGGCUCCCAGGUCUGGAGUACACACACCAGGUCAGAGGAUAGAACAGCUCUGUUCUAGGAGGGUUCUGGUACCAGGAUCCUGAAGGGGAAGGGGCUGAUGACUCACGAGGAAACCUGAGGACGGCUUACGAGUGACUUCGACCUUCUUCCUCAAGCCAUCCCCAUGACAAAAUAACCGCCCCACAGGGUUCUCACUGAGUUUCACCUCUCUGCUAUGAGUACCACAGAAGGAAACAAAACUAGGGGCAGAUGGGAAGGAAGGUGCCGCCUCCCCAAACCUCUAGGGAACUGUGCCCUCCAUGCUAGGCAUAUAUUCUGAAAGGAUUUUUAUUGACCCUUGUGCCUGGGCCUCUGGAGACAGUCCUCAUCCCACCAUUUCUUAGGGCCUGCUGUGAGUGUUCCAGGGUUAUCUGAGAUACACUGUCUCCUCCAUUUGGGGGACCAGAUGAGAAGGCUGGCAUUGUUGUUCACGUCUUCAGAGAGUUCGUGACUCUGCCACAUAGACUGUGGCCUGCUCCAAACCUUUGUAAGUUAAAAGCCAGGCUUGCUAGAGGACCU